GAGAGGGUGACAGCAGUGUGGCUCGGGAGGGCGAUGCCUGGGGCAGCUCGGGCGGAGGAUCGUAGCGAUGCGGACGCGCGACACUCGUCUGUCGAAUCUCGGCA
rnacentral:rRNA from 12 species